rnacentral:rRNA from 1 species
AUACGUAGGGGGCGAGCGUUGUCCGGAAUGAUUGGGCGUAAAGGGCGCGUAGGCGGCUUUGCAAGUCAGUAGUGGAAGUCCAUUUUUCAAGGAUGGAAGUGCUACAGAAACUGCGGAGCUUGAGUGCAGGAGAGGUUCUCGGAAUUCCCGGUGUAGCGGUGAAAUGCGUAGAGAUCGGGAGGAACACCCGUGGCGAAGGCGGGUAACUGGACUGCAACUGACGCUGAGGCGCGAAAGUGUGGGGAGCAAACAGGAUUAGAUACCCUGGUAGUCCACACUGUAAACGAUGAAUGCUAGGUGUAGGAGGUAUCGACCCCUUCUGUGCCGCAGUAAACACAGUAAGCAUUCCGCCUGGGGAGUACGGUCGCAAGAUUAAAACUCAAAUGAAUUGACGGGG